UACGGGAGGCAGCAGUGGGGAAUAUUGCACAAUGGGCGCAAGCCUGAUGCAGCCAUGCCGCGUGUAUGAAGAAGGCCUUCGGGUUGUAAAGUACUUUCAGCGGGGAGGAAGGCGACAGGGUUAAUAACCCUGUCGAUUGACGUUACCCGCAGAAGAAGCACCGGCUAACUCCGUGCCAGCAGCCGCGGUAAUACGGAGGGUGCAAGCGUUAAUCGGAAUUACUGGGCGUAAAG
rnacentral:rRNA from 1 species